rnacentral:lncRNA from 1 species
AUGCUCUGCAGCCGGCGAGGGGCAAUUGCGACUUGGUUAAAACCCCAGACAGGGUUUAGGCUGUACAUGGUGUGUCCCUGUCACCCCCCCAUCCCCCCCCCCCCAAGGAUCAGGGGCACAGCUAGGAUGGAGGUUCGUGCCUGUGGAGGCUGUGACUGCUGGGACAAUGCCCCAUCCCACUGCCCUGGGGCUGGACCAGGAGCUGCAAGUGGCCGGCAUCGUGCCAGGGCCUGGGUGGUGCCCAGCACCCAUGGCAACAAGCUCUGGCGCGUCCCAAACAGAGCUGUCUACAGCCAUGGGCACGCACAGCCGCCUCACUUUCCUCCUCCUUCUCCUUGCUUUCCAGGCCCCAGGUAUGCACCUCCUGGUCACGGGGCUCCAGUGCCUGGGCUGAGGGCACCCCUUGCCAGAUCCUUGGGGGGGGGGGGCGAGAACAGGGGGAUGGGGGAGCAGGAUCCCCCUGGCUGGCCCUGUUUACCAGGAUGGGUAUGGGGUGGGUGGCAGCUGCCUGGCAGGAAUCAGGUGGGACGGGGGAGCAUCACCAGGGCAUUGCUUGGGGCAUCUCUCACUGGGGCAUCUCUGGGCAUCGCCAGGGCAUCUCCAGAGCAUCACCAGGGCAUUGUUGGGGCAUCUCUGGCAGGCUGGGGUGACACCAUCUCUUCCUUUUUCCAGGGUCUUUUGUCAGAGCCGCAGGUAAGAGCAGGAUGCCCUGGGCACCGCUGUGCCUGCUGCACAGGUGCCAGGGUGCAGGGACAGGGGAUCCCUAAAACUGGCUGGGUGACCCUCCAGUCCGGUGCGCAUUGGUGGCGAGGCCCCGACCUGAGCCUGGUCCCCGGGUGUCUGCCCCUGCCAGCCCUGCUCAGCCUGCCGCGCAUUGUCACUGUGAGCGAGGACGCGGCGCCGGGAACCCUUGUGGCCAAGGUGACCCUGGCCUGCAGCAACGUGAGCAGCAACCCCAGGGUCACGCUGGCCCACGUCGAGCCCAGCAGCCCCUUCGACCCCAACGUCACCCUGCGCAGUGUCGAGCCUGUUGAUCCCUUCAAUCCCAUCGCCAUCAGCACCAACCGCACACCCGCCUCCACAUUUCAGGCUGAGGUACAGCCAGGCGGCAAUGCCCAGAGCCACAUGCCAGGCCAGCUGAGGGCAGGGAGUUUGGCUGGGACACCCAUGGGUAGUGUGUGCCCUGCUGAGCACCAUGCCACUGUGGCAGAUCACGCUGCGAGCUGGUGCAGCACUCGAUGCCCACCGGGUGAACCAGUAUGUGCUGAUGCUGCGGGUUGCCUGCCAGGAGGAGGAUGA